CAAGACAUCUCCCCACUAUUUCAACAUGUACUGGUAUUUUGGGGUUUUGUCCCAAUAAUGCAGGGAAUACCAGAAUACCACACAGACACAUCAUGAAUGAAACUUCCUACAGGUGACCUAAAAUGAUUCAUACUGACAUUAAAUAAUGAAACGACUCCAAUUAGAAAUGUAAAAUCAAGUCAGAUUCUUCAUGUAUUUUUGAGAGAACUGUGUAUUUUGACCCUGUCAGUGACCCUGAUAACAGCAGAUCAGUUAAAUCUGCUCAGUUUUAGUGUCUGAUUGAGAGUCAUUUUGGCUUAUUGUUUGUACUGUUUGCAGGAUUCUGAUUGGCUGCGGUGGACAUACAUUGAGGGAAAUGAUGAAUGAACCAUGGUGGAAUUUAAUCAAUGUGACGCCUUUGUCCUGAGGAGGAACAGGGAAGAUUAAUAAUAAAUGAUAUUGCAGUGAACUGCUUGGAUCUGUCAGGAGCUCACACUGUUCUCUUCUGUCCAUCAUGCAGUGGUUUGAUGGUCACUAUCUGUGUUCAGUGAUGAUCAGGAGAGGAUGCACAGGAGAUUCUUCAUAUCGUCUACAGUGAAUCCUGUUGACAGUCCCUCUGAGCAUCAAAAUAAGAUACAUGCCGAUCCAGCUGAAGCCCAAAUGGAUGAAUGUGAAUGCAGCUUUUUACCUGCUGAAGAUGUCACAUCCAGUAACAGUGCCUGUAGUGUCCAGGAGAUAUCAGAGCAACUGUCUCUCGCAUUGGUGCACCACUCAAAAGAAACUCAGACAGCGUCUUGUACUUGUUUUUCACAAGUUCAUCAAACAACCGCAGUAAGAAU